rnacentral:lncRNA from 1 species
CAUGAUCUGUGACAAGAAGCUGAACAGAUUUGUUGUUCUCAGGUUGAUGGGCUUAUAUUUGUAGCAGUCCCAUCUUCUGCUGGCAGCAGGCUCUGCCAUAGAUGCAUAGAUGUCCCUAUGGGAGAACACCAUUAUUCUCUUGUGCCCUUAAGAUUGUGUUACCCAGGUAAUCUUCUUGUCUUUCUUCUCCUGAACUAUUGGGAUGGUUCCAGGAAAAGUAAAAAGUGCUGAAUUACUAUUUUUGUUAUUGUAUAAAACUGAAACCUGACUCCAAAUCUCCUUCAUUAUCUCCUCAAGCCUUCAGGCCUAAUUGACAGCAAGUCUUUAUAUCUUCAUUUGUUCCCAUUAGAAGUCCUUGUGCCCUUGAAUAAACAGUUUUAGCUGAAGAUAAGUGAAAUAAGUCUCAGUCUGUCUAAAGACAUCUGUGAAGACAAAUGAAGCAUAGGUUUGGAUUUCUAGAGACAGAUGUGCUGGAAACAAGACCUCAGAGAAGCUUUUUUCUUACUCCACUGAGUAAGUGUGUUUUGUCUGACACCAGUUACAAAAACCCUGUUUUUUGGCGGCACAGUGCUGUGAUGCUCAAGAAUUGUAUCCUUUCUCGGAGGUAUGGGUAGCUCAUGUCUUGAUGAAGAGGUACUCCAGGACUGGGAUCAAAUGUGUUAAUGGAAAAGAAGGGAAAUAACUUUUAAAAUCUUCUUUAUUCAUUGUGCGUUAUCAAUGAUGAGACCCAAUUCUCUAUUAUAUUGAUUUUAUAGUUGCAAUUUCACCUUUAAAUUCAGUGUGAAUAUUAUUGGUAGAAAUCUAGCAUUGAAAUGUCAAUGUUGGAAAUAUUAAUGUGAAGAGAAAGUAAAGUAAUUUGAAGUGGUCACCACACUGAAGAAGAACUAGACUACCUUACAACUGUGUUUUGGGUUUAUAUGGCAAGGUUUUGGUAGCGGUGGGUCUGCAAGGGUGGCCUCGCUGAGCAGAGCCCUGCAGCUGCCCCAUCUCAGAUCAGAGCCAGUUUCAGCCAGCUCCAAAAGGAACCCAUUGCUGGCCGGAGUUCAGCCAAUGAGCAAUGCUGUUUGCACCUCUGUGAGAGCAGAUUUAAGAAAAGUAAAAAACUGCUAUACAACAGCAGCUGGGAAGAGAAGUGAGAAAACGUAGAGAGAAACAGCUCUGAAGGAGUCUGCAGUCCAUGGAGAGCCCCAGCAUGAUCAAGCUCUGGGCCAGAGCUGUAGCCUGUGGAGGAGCCCCUGGUGAAGCAGGAUGUCUGGCAGGAGCUGCUGCCCAUGGGGAAUCCAUUCAGCAGUGGGUUUAUGUGGAAAGGUUUUGGUAGCAGGGGACCACAGGGAUGGCUUCUCUGAGAAGCAUCUAGAAGCUGCCCCAUGUUAGAUAAGCACCCAGCUGCUGACUGGAGCCUAGCCAAUAAGUGAUGUUGUUUGUGCCCCUGUGACAGCAUAUUUAAGAAAGGGAAAAACAAAACAAAACAAAACAAAAAAAAAACAAACAAACAAACAAACAAAAAAAAACACCUGCUGCUACGCAGCAGCUGGGAGAGUGAUAGGAGUGAGAAACAGCCUUGCAGACACCAAGGUCAGUGAAGAAGGAGGCGGAGAGUUGCUCCAGGUGCCAGAGUAGAAGUCCCCUGCAGCCUGUGGCGAGGACCAUGGUGAAGCAGACUGUCCCUUUGAAGCCCAUGGAAUACCACAGUGAAGCAGGGUUCCACGCUGCAGCCCAUGAAGGACACCACAGUGGAGCAGGUAGAUUGCACUGACAAGCUGCAGCCUGUGGAGGGCCCUCACUGGAGCAGAUUCCUGGCCAGACCUAUGGCCCAUGGAGAGGAGCCCACAUAGGAGCAGGUGAUCUGGCAGAAACUGCUGCCUGUGGGGGACCCAGGUUGGAGCAGUUUUCUCCUGAUGGAUGGACCCCAUGGUACGGCCCAUAUCUGGAGCAGUUCUUGACAAGCUGCUGCCUGUGGGAAGCCCACGCAGGAUCAGUGUGGGAAGGAUGACAUCCCUUGGGAAGCACCCCAUGAGAAGCAGGGGUAGAGAGUGAGGAUCAGUUGGGAAGGGACCCCACGUUGCAGAGGAAGAGAGUGACCAAGAAGAAGCGGUAGAGAUGGAGCUGACCACAACCAGAGAAGAGACUGACCACAACCCUUAUUCCCCUGUUCCCCGGCACUGCUUGGGGGGAGGAGGUGGAAGAGGGUGGAUGGAGGAAAGCGGUUUUGGUUUCUUUCCUUUGUUUCUCACUUCUCUAGCUUGUUAGUAAAAGGCAAUAAAUUUUACUGUCUCCCUACUCUGAGUCUGUUU